CCCUUAGAUGUCCUGGGCUGCACGCGCGCUACACUGGAAGUUACGGAUUGAGAUACUACCUUGUCCGAAAUGGUCCGGGUAAUCACCUAAAAGCUUGUCAUAAUUGGAAUGGAUUAUUGUAACUAGUACUCCUGAACGAGGAAUUCCUAGUAAGUCCCAGUCAACAGCUGGUACUGAUUACGUCCCUGCCCUUUGUACACACCGCCCGUCGCUACUACUGAUUGGACGUUUAAGCAAGAUUUUUAAACACUGACAGUGUGUAGUUCACGCUAUACUACAGUGAGAAGAAGAAGAUCGAGCUUACUUGUCUAGAGGAAGUAAAAGUCGUAACA
rnacentral:rRNA from 1 species